rnacentral:misc_RNA from 1 species
GAUGAAAACGUAGCGAAAUGCGAUAAGUAAUGUGAAUUGCAGAAUUCAGUGAAUCAUCGAGUCUUUGAACGCACAUUGCGCCCCCUGGUAUUCCGGGGGGCAUGCCUGUCCGAGCGUCAUUGCUGCCCUCAAGCACGGCUUGUGUGUUGGGCCCCCGUCCCCGGUUUCCCCCGGGGACGGGCCCGAAAGGCAGCGGCGGCACCGCGUCCGGUCCUCGAGCGUAUGGGGCUUUGUCACCCGCUCUGUAGGCCCGGCCGGCGCCAGCCGACACCCAACUUUAUUUCUAAGGUUGACCUCGGAUCAGGUAGGGAUACCCGCUGAACUUAAGCAUAUCAAUAAGCGGAGGA